CUGGACACUUUAACCUGGUACCAAUCCAGGCUGCUGCUGAAAGGUGACAACCACACUCCCCCUUUCCACUUCUUCCUGCUGGCUUUCUUGUACAAGUGUUAGCAUUUGUGCAGCAAACUGAACCAAGGAACUGAUCCACUGAAAAGUAACUCCCUUUUGUUUUUCCAGCUGGACCAGUUACCACAGAAGAAAAGCUGUAAGAAAGCAGAUGCCGGGUGGAGUAACAGCAUGUCUGUUGACAGCAAAGUUCAGAAGAAUACUGAGGCUGAGCAAUGACAUACAUUCCAAAUCUCCUCUGGCAUUUGGCAGCAAUUCCCUUCUUCAGUGUGAAUGGCAGAUGUUAAGUCGUUUCAGAAAAGGGAACGAUACAAGGUUCACCCUACAGCCUUAAAUUUCUCAAGAGGUUAAGGACACCGCAAGUAUGACUACAUUGUAUUAACGUACUGUCCUACACCUGUCAAAAAUUUACAUCUUUGGUAUGUUCACUGUAAACGUUUAGUCUGUCUGAUUGCUGUAUUUUGUACAUCAUAAACUAUACUACUGCUAUGUAAAAUAGUAUUUUCAAAUGCUGA